GAUGAACGCUGGCGGCGUGCCUAAUACAUCCAAGUCGAGCGAACAGAUGAGGAGCUUGCUCCUCUGACGUUAGCGGCGGACGGGUGAGUAACACGUGGAUAACCUACCUAUAAGACUGGGAUAACUUCGGGAAACCGGAGCUAAUACCGGAUAAUAUAUUGAACCGCAUGGUUCAAUAGUGAAGGACGGUUUUGCUGUCACUUAUAGAUGGAUCCGCGCCGCAUUAGCUAGUUGGUAAGGUAACGGCUUACCAAGGCAACGAUGCGUAGCCGACCUGAGAGGGUGAUCGGCCACACUGGAACUGAGACACGGUCCAGACUCCUACGGGAGGCAGCAGUAGGGAAUCUUCCGCAAUGGGCGAAAGCCUGACGGAGCAACGCCGCGUGAGUGAUGAAGGUCUUCGGAUCGUAAAACUCUGUUAUUAGGGAAGAACAAAUGUGUAAGUAACUAUGCACGUCUUGACGGUACCUAAUCAGAAAGCCACGGCUAACUACGUG
rnacentral:rRNA from 1 species